rnacentral:rRNA from 1 species
UACAGAGGGGGCAAGCGUUAUUCGGAAUUAUUGGGCGUAAAGGGCGCGUAGGCGCUUCGCAAGUGGAAGGUGAAAUCCCUCGGCUUAACCGAGGAACUGCCCUCCAAACUGCUUCGCUUGAGACCGGGAGAGGUGAGUGGAAUUCCCAGUGUAGCGGUGAAAUGCGUAGAUAUUGGGAGGAACACCAGUGGCGAAGGCGGCUCACUGGACCGGUACUGACGCUGAUGCGCGAAAGCGUGGGGAGCAAACGGG